rnacentral:rRNA from 1 species
GAUCAUGGCUCAGGAUGAGCGCUAGCGACAGGCUUAACACAUGCAAGUCGAGGGGCAGCGGGGUGUAGCAAUACACCGCCGGCGACCGGCGCACGGGUGAGUAACGCGUAUGCAACUUGCCUAUCAGAGGGGGAUAACCCGGCGAAAGUCGGACUAAUACCGCAUGAAGCAGGGAUCCCGCAUGGGAAUAUUUGCUAAAGACUCAUCGCUGAUAGAUAGGC